UUUACUAUGCCCACCCUCUUCUUUCUCACUCUCUUGCUCUUAAACCCAGCCUUAUUUUUUUAUUGUACUUUAACCAUUUACUACUGCAAAACACAACUCGUUCAAAAGUAAAAAAUAAAAAAACUUAAAAACACAGCCACAUUUUUUUCUGCUCUCUAUUUUUCUUCCCAAUUUCCCACUGUUUCUCUCUCCAAGUUGCCUAAAUCAGUAAUUGACGAUCAAAGUAUCAACGAUGAAGAAUAGCUAUUGAAGAUUGAAGAUCAUUGACUGCCAUCAACAAGUUCGAUUCAACUUCCAAUCUGUAACUUUGUACUUGCAUGUGGACAUUAUGGAUUUCAAGGAAUUAUAUGAUAUUUAGAGGGCUUGUUGUUAGAAGGGUGGAGCUUAUCGAAAAAAUCAAGUUCACAACAGCGUUUUGGGUGAAGGCGAAGACUGGAGGGUGCCUUUUUUCUGUGGAAGGCUUCAUAUAUAGAAUUGAAUGGGUGAAUCGAUUGAAAUUGAAGAAUUUGAAGAGGAAAGGAUAGCUGUUUUUGACUCUUAUGUGGCUCUGUUUUGGGGUUGUAGUAUUGGACCCCUUUGUUUUCUUUUUGUUUGUUUGGGUUGGCUCGUGGCCAAAUACUUGCAGGGUUAGAUUUUGUAAGUUUAAAGUCGGUUUACAUCCUUCUUAACUGUUAAUCUGAUCCUCUGUAUCCUUUCUCUUUUCAUCAAUAAAUCUUUUCUUUGUUGAGAAAAAAAAAAA